AAUAUUGGACAAUGGUGGGAACCCUGAUCCAGCCAGCCCGCGUGUAUGAUGAAGGCCUUCGGGUUGUAAAGUACUUUUGGCAGAGAAGAAAAGGUAUCUCCUAAUACGAGAUACUGCUGACGGUAUCUGCAGAAUAAGCACCGGCUAACUACGUUCUAGCAGCCGCGGUAAUACGUAUUGUGCAAUCGUUAAUCGGCAUUACUGGGCGUAAAGCGUGUGUAGGCGGUUCGGAAAGAAAGAUGUGAAAUCCCAGGGCUCAACCUUGGAACUGCAUUUUUAACUGCCGAGCUAGAGUAUGUCAGAGGGGGGUAGAAUUCCACGUGUAGCAGUGAAAUGCGUAGAUAUGUGGAGGAAUACCGAUGGCGAAGGCAGCCCCCUGGGAUAAUACUGACGCUCAGACACGAAAGCGUGGGGAGCAAACAGG
rnacentral:rRNA from 1 species